UCCUCAUUGGUGUAGUCGGUAACACUCUAGUCUUUCACACUGGUACCUCGGGUUCGAUUCCCGAAUGGGGAG
rnacentral:ncRNA from 13 species